AUUGAACGCUGGCGGCAGGCCUAACACAUGCAAGUCGAACGGUAACAGGAAGCAGCUUGCUGCUUUGCUGACGAGUGGCGGACGGGUGAGUAAUGUCUGGGAAACUGCCUGAUGGAGGGGGAUAACUACUGGAAACGGUAGCUAAUACCGCAUAACGUCGCAAGACCAAAGAGGGGGACCUUAGGGCCUCUUGCCAUCGGAUGUGCCCAGAUGGGAUUAGCUAGUAGGUGGGGUAACGGCUCACCUAGGCGACGAUCCCUAGCUGGUCUGAGAGGAUGACCAGCCACACUGGAACUGAGACACGGUCCAGACUCCUACGGGAGGCAGCAGUGGGGAAUAUUGCACAAUGGGCGCAAGCCUGAUGCGGCCAUGCCGCGUGUAUGAAGAAGGCCUUCGGGUUGUAAAGUACUUUCGGCGGGGAGGAAGGGAGUAAAGUUAAUACCUUUGCUCAUUGACGUUGCCCGCAGAAGAAGCACCGGCUAACUCCGUG
rnacentral:rRNA from 1 species